GUCAGGUUGGCCGAGUGGUCUAAGGCGCCAGACUUAAAGUUCUGGUACUCGAAAGAGUGCGUGGGUUCGAACCCCACACCUGACA